CUUGAGUGAAUGAAGUAUAAAUCAUCUGAUGUUGUCUCUUCUUGCUCUGAUUAGGUCCUAAAGUGGAGGCGGUCGAAGCUGAGUAAAUUUCUGGGAGGAAUAACGAGAUUGAAUAAAAGAACGAUGAAUAUUAGCCCUUUAUUUUAUUUCGUGUUCUGGUACGAGGGGUGUAAAGAAUUUUGAACUCAAAUCAAUGGUCAAUAAUUCCUUUUAAUUUCCAUUUC